UGGGUAACCUGCCUCAAAGAGGGGAAUAGCCUCCCGAAAGGGAGAUUAAUACCGCAUAAUAUGUUUAGGUCGCAUGACUUUAACAUCAAAGGAUUUUCUUUUAGAAAUUCCACUUUGAGAUGGACCCGCGGCGCGUUAGCUAGUUGGUGAGGUAACGGCUCACCAAGGCAACGAUGCGUAGCCGACCUGAGAGGGUGAUCGGCCACAUUGGAACUGAGACACGGCCCAGACUCCUACGGGAGCAG
rnacentral:rRNA from 1 species